rnacentral:rRNA from 1 species
AACGAACGCUGGCGGCGUGCCUAAUACAUGCAAGUCGAACGGUCUUUUCUAUGGAAGCUUGCUUCCGCUGAGAAGAUAGUGGCGAACGGGUGAGUAACACGUGGGUAACCUGCCCAUAAGAGGGGGAUAACAUCCGGAAACGGGUGCUAAUACCGCAUAGUUUUCUUGAUCGCAUGAUUGAGAAAGUAAAGACGGCCUUUGUGCUGUCGCUUAUGGAGCGACCCGCGGCGUAUUAGUUAGUUGGUGAGGUAACGGCUCACCAAGAGGAUGAUACGUAGCCGACCUGAGAGGGUGAUCGGCCACAUUGGGACUGAGACACGGCCCAAACUCCUACGGGAGGCAGCAGUAGGGAAUCUCCCGCAAUGGACGAAAGUCUGACGGAGCAACGCCGCGUGAGUGAAGAAGGUUUUCGGAUCGUAAAACUCUGUUGUCAGAGAAGAACAAGUCGGAGAGUAACUGCUCCGGCCUUGACGGUAUCUGACCAGAAAGCCACGGCUAACUACGUGCCAGCAGCCGCCGUAAGAC